GUCUGUUUUCAAAGUAUUAUGUCAACUGUUUUGUGUAUGGAAUAAUUGUAAUGUGUAUAUAACUGUCUGGCAGUUCUCAUUUGACCUUGACCUCAUAUUUUCCUGGUUCAUUGGUAUAUAAGAAUGUAAAGUGAUAAAGGGCCAUAACUGUUAGAAAUCCUGAAUUCAGAAUCAUGUCAUCAAAUAAACAAUCGUAAAUGUAAAAUUCAUUAAGUUUAUUCAAUGUAUUUUAAAAAUACAUAAUUACAUGGUAAGAAAACAAUUAUUAGGCCAUAAAAAACUAAUUUUUCAAUUAGUGUCCCUUGAAAUUAAUUAAAUAGCAAAAGGUUAGGAAAAUAGAUUGAGAUUAAAUUCUAAAAUAUUGCCAUGUUUGAUUGCAGUACAAAUCACAAUCUGCUGUUUAUAAAAGGGAUUAUAAAUGCCUCCUUUCUCAGUUUUUCUAACAAUUUUAAAUGACUAAGAUAAAGAAGAUUCAAAAUUAUUCAAGCAAAAUUGGUCCUAACUUGUUAAUUUUUUAGAAGAAAAACAUAUUGAAAUUGAGGACAAGAGAUGGCAAUUCGCCUUCUCAGAAUUUAAAGGACUAUGGGUAAUUUCAUUGUUAGCACGUUUAAAUGAAAAUAACGGUGCCAUAGGUUGAAUUCAAUUGUUUUGAACGUUUUAAACCAAUCAACACCUUUUGGUGUGCACUUUUGAAAAUAUUACCCAGAAUGCAUUAGAUUCUGAAACAUCGAACAGAUUAUGCUAGCUGAGCUAAUAAACCAUAAAAAAAAUCCUCUCCACCCCUAAACAAGAACAAGAAUCUAAAAAUUAUUUUUUUAUGUCCUUGAUGAAAGGCAACAUAUCCUUCCUAGCUGUAAUACAACAAUCAGGUAAUAUACAUACAAAUUUCUUCCCAGUCUAUUGUUAAUACAAUGUAUAUCAUACACAAAUAUUACAGCUAAAUUCCUAACGCAUGUAGAGCAAAACUUUAGUUAGCUUGCUUGCUUUGAUUGUAUAUUGUACAAUCAUAUUAGGAUAACACCCAAUUAAAUUCAAAUAUAACAGAUACAGGUUAAACUAUGCCUAUAUAUAUUGUUUAAAGAUGUCAAUCUUAUUUACAAAGCAUGUAUAAACAAUUAUACAAACAAAGCAAGCAAGCCGUCCAAAGUUUUAUUUUGCAAGCAUUAGGAAAUCAGCUGUAAUAACAAGAUAAAAAUUAUUGAUAAUUGUAAGCACAUCUAUCUUGGCUUUCAGAGCUAAUACUAACUAAAGCCAAUUGUGUUCAAAUAUAAGACAAAGAUUGUCCAUACUUUAAAGAGGGCAUCCCGAAUUCCCGAAAAAUAAAGCAUUUUUCCCCAGAUCCCGAAAAAAUAAAUGUUCAAUUCCUGAAACCAGACAGGUGUUAAUCCAAAAACACAAUUAGGAGUGUUCCAAUCCUGGCGUCCUGAAAAAAGGUCCUUCUGCCCCUCCCUAAAUUUCUCUUUUUAAUUUAUAACCAAAAUGGGAUGUUAAGUUAAGUUCUGAAUUUAAAUUUAUAUUCUUAUCCAGAUUUUACUAAUUUUUUAUCAGCGCUUGUCAUCAUCUCUUUUUCUGGUUAUAUUAUAUUAAUUCCCCAUUUCAUAAUCUAAUGCAUUCUGGGUAUUAUUUUCAUGAAGUACACUAAAAUUUUUGAUUAAUUUAUAAUUUUCUUGAAAACUGUUCUACCAAUGGCAUAAUAUAUUUUUGAGCAAUUACCCUUAAUCCUUCAGAGACUGAAAAACUAAAUGGGAAAAAAAUCUAACUCAAACUCAAAGGAUUAAUAAAUUUCAUCCUGUAUUUAACAUGCAAGUAACAGAAUAUUUUUAAGUUAAUAUAAUAAAUAUUAAAUUUCCUUUUAUCCUUACUAUCUAUUUAUUACACAUUACUAUUUGAUGGAAAAUUGAAACAGAAUUUCCUCAACAUUUACCAUGUUCCCAGAAUCAAUUCUUAAUCAUUUAAUAAAGAGCACAAAUUUCAAAGUAGCUAUCUCUAAAGAAUAGCCAAAAUAAUUAUAACAAAAUAUUAUUUCUAUAUUACACAAUAUGUUGAAUUGAAAGACAGAAAAGAAACUUGCAUUAUAUUUAUAAGACAUUUAAUGUAUAACCACACACAUAUACAUGAAACUCAGAUAUAAAUAAUGACACACAUAUAUAUAUAGAUGAUUUUAAAAAACAAGCGAUAAUAUCACAAAAUAGAACCUGAAAAUGCAUUGUCUUACAAUAAUACAAUUACAGUUUUUCAUAUAGACCAAAAAUACUUUUAAGAACCGAUUCAAAAAGACCAAAACUUCUUAUAACAUAUAGGCAAGUGGAAGGAAGUAAAACCUUACAUAUAUACACACUUUCUAAAAAUUGUAAUUUUUUAUUUUUAUUUUCAUCUUAAGUCGUUGAGUUGAGACCCAAUUUUCUCACAUGGGACACCUGUUACCAUGGUAACCUAAGCAUAGUUACUGAAGCAGAAUGCCUACACAGAACAGUUAUCAAUUAAUAGUUAAAAUGGCUCUGGAUAAAAAUUGCAAGAAAAUUGGGUUAAAAUGUAUAUGACUUGGAAUUCAAUUAAAAAUCACCUGACAUGAUCAAAACCAAUAGAAAUCAUCAUUUAAAUCAAUAUGUAAGACUCAAGGUCAAGGCUUCUGUUCCUAGUAUUAAAAAUCAAAAUGGCUGUAUGGUAAUGAUAAAUAAAAUAGUUAGUUAUUCAAUCCUUUCAAACUUAUGUGAUUUCAUAAAUAAAUGAAAAGUGGGUCUCAUUGGGGUCUAAGCGUGAGGCAGGACUGACGAGUUUUUGUAAGCGUGACACAUGAAAGUCAAAUUAUUGUGCUGUGAAAACGGGAAAUAAUGUCUAGCAGGACACAGGAAAUUACAAAAAAAUUAGAAUUGCUUACAUUCAUAGUGUAAGUGGGAAAGGGAAUCUGACAAAACAGUAAUCGGGAUCAGAACCCCCAAUGAGACCCCCUGAAUAAUGUCUGGUCACUCAGGUGCACAAUUGUAAAUGUGUUGUUACUGUAACAUCAUUAACAAAAUCUAAAUAAGGUCAUUUUACAAAUAGAUUUUGGUCGAAUUCAAAAUGAACAAUGGUUAUACUCCAAAUAUAAUUAAUUGACAUCAGCAUCUUCUUUCAACGUUUUUAGACAAAAUAUCAUUUUGGAUAAGGCAGUUUGCUAAUAUCUAAAUGUUAAUUGGAAAAUCUUGCAAUUGGUCAAAGUUGGAAGUUAGAUGGCACAAAACAGAUACAUUAAUGUAGACAAAAUUGAAAUAUAUCAGGACUGAUAUCUGACAAUUUUUUGAUGAAUGCCUAAAUGAAUUUAUUUGAUAGAUGUAUAAUACUUAGUGAUUUUGAUUCAAAAGGCUUAGAAAAUGAUCAUAUUAACUAUUUCCAGCACAUAAAAUGAAAUGAACAUAUUUUAGUAGGUGGUCAUCACAUCGGGUUCACAAAGUUAGGUUUGAAUGUCUGAUCUUUUAACUCUUAAUCUAAGAUUCUCUGAAAUCUGAAAAUUCAUAUGACAAAUGUUAUUAAAUCUUGAAAUAAUUUGUAUGGAAGAAAAAUCCAAAGAAAAAGACCUUUACAUAUUAAAAAUGAAUGUCAGUGAAAUAAUUUAUGUACUUUUAAGUUUGAACAUUUAGUUAGUACUAUUUUGUUAAAACAUGUUUGAAUAAUUAUUUAAAUCAACCACAUAUUGAGGUUAAAAUAAGACACAUCUUUUAAAUAUUUUGCAUUAGCCAAAUAGCCACCUUCAUCGGGUAAUUUUCAGUUUAGAGCAAAGUGGGGACUAACCAAAGCAAUGUAAGGAGUAGAACUUGUGCAAAGUCUAUGUUUUAAUCAUAAAUGUAACUCCAUACCCUUACCAUCAAAUUUUCAAGGCUUUUGCCAUCAUUUGAAUAUAACAACCAUAUAACCAGGAAUUGUACUCAUUAAGUCACUUAUGGAGGUUAAAAUGUUUAUUUGGAAUACAGUCACCAUUGAAUAUUCUUAUUAUCCCCCAAAAAUUAACCACUUAAUGAUACAUUGGAGAUAAAUUGAUCAGCUAGCUAGCAGUAAAAUUACUCAUUACACAUAAUAACAAGGAAAAAAUUGAGUAAUGCAUUAGGGGAGACAUUACAAAUUAAAUUCAAUAAAGCAAAAAAGAUGAAAGACAGAAUAGUCAAAGCAAUGCAAAUACAUGUGAGCUCUUGUUAUAAGGGCUUAAAUGGAAGAAAUAAAUUUUCUUUCUUAAGACUAAAACUAAAACAUUACACAUAACAGAUAUUUUAAAAUCAUAUAAAAUGCCAGUUUCCUAGAGUAUUGGUAUUUGAAUGCAAAAUUAAAUUCAAAAAUUACAUCCAAAACAAAAGGGGGGAGGGGGUGUUACUUUUUUUGUAGAUCGUUAACCUCAAAUGGAUAAAUUUUUCUACAAUCACAAUAGUGUAUCCCCAUAAAGUUCUGAAGAAAAAAUAUGAUAAUUACAGAGUUUCGUGUUUACAUCUUUGGUUUAACAUUCUAGAUAGUUACACAGGAAAUGGUCUAUAAAAACAUUGAUAUCCAGUUCUCUUACUAAUGUAACCCUUGAAAAAUAUAGUUUUAGUGCUAAUUUCCUACUGCAUGUAGAGCAAAACUUUGAUUAGCUUGCUUGAUCUGUUCAUAUAUUGUACAAUUGUAAUUGGGUUUGCAUCCAAUCAAAUUCAAACAUAACAUAUACAGAUUUAACUUUGCAUAUAUAUAUUGCUUGAAGAUAUCAAUCUUAAUUACAAAGCUUUAAUAAACAUUAACACAAACAAAGCAGGCAAGCUUACCAAAGUUUUACCCUACAAGCAUUAGGAAAUUAGCUUUAAGUUUCUUAUAUUCUUUUAGUUCAGUUAUUUAAAAGUGAGACAAUGAUGCUGCAUUUCUGCACCAACUGACAACAUUUUUAAUGGAUUUCAAAUGUAUUCAUUUAUAUAUUAACUUACAAAUACUCCUCCAACAAAUACGGUUAGCAAUCAUACCACAUCUUCUUUUUUAAAUUUAACACUUGUUCUGUUAUAAAUGAAAGAAUCAUUUAGUAAAUGAACAAACUGUACAAUACAAGACAAUGAAAUAAACUUUAAUCAUUUCAAGAAUUUGUAUAGUCUUAUAUUUUUAAAAAGAUAAAAUUUCACAGAAAUGCUUGAGUUGAACAUAUAUUAUGUAGAAAUUUUGGAUAUAUUCAAAGGGGGUAUAAUCCAAAUAGAAAUUUGGGGUAUACUUAUUGACAAAUUCUUUCUUUCUAGUAUUUUAAAUAACUAGUGAAAUCAUUGACUUAAAGAGUUCAAUGGCAGAAAGAUUUUCAAAAUACAAUGAUGAUAUAUAAAACGUACACACGAAAAAACAAAGUAUUAAUUAAUGUUUUGAUAUUCAUGUUUUUUUAAUGACUAGAAAUAUGAAAAUUAAAAUGCUGUACAGUUUUGUUCAAUCAAAUACAAUGAUUAAAAGCAAUAUACAAAUCAAUAUAAGCUAAAAUAACAGAGAGCAUUAAGCAUCUGAACUAGCCAAGAGUUGUUAUCAAAUGAAAAUAGUGGAACUAAUAUGAACUACCGUAGUCGUCUGUGUAUAGUACGCAUUUAUCUAUAAUAUGCAUUCCCUAAUAAGUGAUUUAUAUCUAUAAUGAUACUUUAAAAUCAAAUUUUGAAAUACAAUACUUGACCAUCCACAGGCAAAUUCAAGCAUGAUUUUCUCAGCUUUUAUAAUCUACACAACAAGUGUGUUAGUCAAUUUUAUAUCUAUAUUUAGAUAAGCAUGUCUCAAAAAUAUGCACAUGAACCUGUCUCCAUUUUUCCAGAUUUUAUAAAAAAAAAUUAUCUAUAUAUAUAUAAAAUUGUCAUUUAUAAAAGUGAUGUUAUUUAAGAUUUAUCAGUAGUUUCUGAAGUCAAGCUAAAACUGAUAUUAAGCUGAGGAGAUCAAGCUGGACCUUUGACCAGUAAAUAUGUCCACUUCUAGACAAAAUAUAGGUUCAGUAAGAUAUUUUCAAGGUCAUAUCAAGCAAGGACAAAAUCUUGCUAAUAAAUUCUAACAGAUUAUAAAAAAAUAAAUGUAAUUUAUAAAAUUACAAACAAAAAAUUAUACUGAUAGUAAAUUUCUUACAGGAGAAAACUGACAUAUCAAAAGCAUAUUUAAAGCUAUUUAGGAAAACACAUGUAUACACCCAACAAA
rnacentral:lncRNA from 1 species